rnacentral:tRNA from 1 species
GUAUAUAUAAUUUAAAUAAAAUAUUAAACUG